rnacentral:lncRNA from 1 species
UUUAAAUUCCAUACAAGGCAGAAGCUUGGAAAGUGUUUAAGCAGGAAUGCUACAUUAUCUAAUGCUGGGGUCAGCCAUUAGCCCAUCAGUGAAUAUAUAUUUGUUCUAUCCAAAAUAAGCUGAAGCCAUCCUAGCCAUUUUCCCACCAUACAGGGUCCAAGGGGGUCUCCUAAGGAGGAGAUGAGGACUUCAACUCACUCCAGGCACAAGGGUUAUGCUCUGCUAACGCUGCCGGAAAUGACUUGGAUUAAAUGACAUGAAUCGGGAAGCCAGGGCCAUCAGAAGGAGGCGGCCUAGUUGAGGAGAAUGGAUCAUAGAGACAUGACCUGGAGGACUAUAUCUGGUCCCUGGCUCCCUCCUCUCUGGCUGUCUUCCUGCUUACUCUGGUGGCCAUGAGGUGAGCAGUUUUCCUCCACCACUCUAUCUGCCAUGAUGUUUCUGUAUCACUCUAGGCCUAAAAGCAAUGGACCCGCUGACUGACCAUGGACUGAAACCUCUGAAACUGUGAGCCAAAUUAAACCUUUCUUCUUUUAAGUUUGUUAUCCUUAUUAUUUGGUCACAGUGACAAAAAGCUGAGCAGCACAUUAAGGAUGCCCUAGGAGGCCCUGAAGACAAAGUUCUCCAAAUGAAGAAAGUUAACAUGUAAGAAGAUAACUGAGGCUAUCUGUAGGCAAUUCAAGCAAAUGUAUUUGUGUUUGAGACAGCACCUGGAAAGGCCCAAACGUAGGAGAGUACAGAAAAGGAGGAAGCAGUAAGGAGGAAGGAGUAUGUCAGGCUGGGUGGACAGUAAGGGAGGAGGUCAUUGACACACAGAGGAGCGAGCAUUGGAAAUCUUGAAAGUGAAAUGGAAGAAUCUGGACUUUCUUCUAGAGCAGGGUUUCUUGGCUGGGCACAAUUGACACCUGGGCCUGGAUAAUUCUUUGUUGUGGGACAGGGCAGGAAUCUGUCUUCUAUAUUAUAGGAUCUUUGGCAGCAUCUCUGGCUUAUGCCCACAACAUGCCAGUAG